GGAGAGAUGGCCGAGCGGUCCAAGGCGCUGGUUUAAGGCAACCAGUAGCUUCGGGGGCGUGGGUUCGAAUCCCACUCUCUUCA
ensembl:tRNA